rnacentral:ncRNA from 2 species
UUUAUAUAUUCAGGGAGCUGACAAAUUAGCCGGCUGAGAGGAGAAUGAAGUUCUCGACCUGUGAACCUGAUUUAGGUAAUGCUAACGUAGGGAUGUGUAUUAGAGGUGCC